ensembl:snRNA Gm23788 predicted gene, 23788
AUAGUGUCUAUGCCUUUUGGCUAAGAUCAAGUGUAGCGUCUGUUCUUAUCAGCUUAAUAUCUGAUGUGUUUUUUAUUCAGAGAAAUAGCAACAAGGAAAAAUGAAA